CCCAACGCGCUGAAGGAAAAAAAGACACUUAUCGCUUUGACCGCCUCAUCAAGAGCUAAAGGGAAAACAGAGCAAUGGCGACGGCGAAGGCGGGAGGCGGCGGCUACGAGUUUUUGUCAGAUCUAGUCGAUAGGGUCCGUGUCAGGCAUGCACCCCUUGAGCCCCCCCCCCCCUACGUUGGGAGGAUAAGGGCACUGGAAAAAGCACUCAGAUGCUAUGCAAGAAAGAAGUGUGACAAUGUCGUAAUUCCUGCCGUCGGAGACAACUUUGAUCCCCUUGGAGAGGCAUACGACUAUUACAAUCUGUAUCCCUGAGAAUUUGGGUUUGGGAUUAGAUAUAGAAAAAGCAGAUUGAACGUCGAGAGAACAAACUGUAUGAAGGAAAUAGUUUGCGGCUGCUCAGUUAGUAAUUCUUUUCGAUUUCAUCACUGUAUAUAUUGUACUAAUCUUUUUGUAGCCUCAAAAAUGAAAACGCACAUUGUUAUUUCCCACAAAAAGAAUUGCAGGGUGUCCCGAAAAGGAGCAACACACGGUCUUACCGAUGUACGAUAUGCCAUUCGGGCUGUUUGUCGGAGUCAACAACCACUUCCAAAGUGUCAUUUUCGGCGGAGUCCUGGUCAGGGAUGAGACAGCGGAAACAUUUACAUGGGUGUCCACUGAAUUUAUCCGCAUGAUGGGUGGCAAACAUCCACAAACCUUGCUAACAGAUCAAUGGAGCCCGUUCAAAAAAAACAGAUCAAUGGAGGGCCAUGGAAGUAGCAAUAGAAUGUCUGGUGUAAGGGGCACAUCCUGAAGAAAGCAAAAGAAUCUCUUGGAGCACAUUACAGAAAGAGGAGCAAGUUCAGAAUCGAGUUCCACAAGAUAAUACGUCACAUGCUCACAGUCGAUGAGUUCAAGACAGCAUGGGGACAUUUGACAGAACACACGGCUUGCAAAAACACCCUUACCUGACUCAGAUCUAUGAAACAAGGAUGAAAUGGGCGAAACCAUAUUUCAAUGGAAAAUUUUGUGCAAAAAUGACCAGUACACAGUGCAGUGAAAGUUCAAACCAUAUGCUUAAGAAUUAUGUUCCAGCAAGCUGCCCCAUGCAUCUAUUCGUUCGCCAGUAGAUGAGGCUUCUUUUCGACAGGGAAGCAGCUGAGAACUACGAGGAAAGACAUACUAAGAUAACUUCACCAGUUAUGAAAAUGCACACCACUAGAGAUGCACGCUAGCGAUGUAUACACUCGAGCUAUGUUUGAGAAAUUUGGCGAAGUCCUGUAUGAAGCAGGUCAGUACAAGACAGAGGAAGUCAUCAGAUGGAAUACGUAUUUGGCACGACGGUACCACCCAGAGAAGCAUGACAGUGGUACAGAGUUGUGUACCAAGUAGAAGUUGUCGACGAAGGCGCACAACUAGUAUGUGAGUGUGGUAAUUUUGAACACACAGGCUUGCUGUGCUGCCACACACUUAAGGUCCUUGAAGUCCUUGGAAUAGAUCAGAUACUAGCCAAGCACAUUCUCAAACGAUGGACAAAGGAUGCAAGAGAUGUGCUGCCAGAUCAUUUGGUGCAUCUUCAAAAGGAUAAGAUUAGUGUCAAUUCAAUAACAUUCAGACACUCCAACCUACACACUCACGCCCUUGAAGUUGUCAGUAUAGGAGACGCCAACACAGGUACGUAUGAAUGUGCAAUGGAUAUACUGAAGAAAUCAAUGGAUACACUGACACCUAUGGCAAGCGUCCGUGAUGGAAUGGGACUUCAAGACAGAGUCCAGUCGGAGAAAGGAAAAGAAAAGGAACUGAUUGCAAUGCAUCCAGCAGCAAGUGGGGAGGGAGUGAUGCCCAAGGCAGUGCAAUUGGUAGUUUCGUUGGCUUAAAGCCUCCAGAAUGAAAGCGUAAAGCAGAACGACCAACUACCAGCAGGGACAAGCGUCUGUAUGAUGACCGAGGCGCGAAGAGCAAAAAAUGGAAGCAGGCACCAAAUAAAAAGCUGCUGAUAGGUGUGGAACAAGCAAGCGUACUCGUUUCUGUAGUAUCUGCGGUGAGGGAGGUCACAAGAGAGGUGAUCUUCCUUGGAAAGAAAAUGCUCAAACUGUGGUGUCGAUGGUCACAGAAAGAAACACCCGCAACAAACCUAAAGUUGUGCUGCAUGUUGUUGAAAAUGCAACUUUGGAGCAACUUUUGAUUUAGAAUUCUACAGUGUGAUGUGCUGUUGAGGGCUUCGUAGCCAUUAUCCAGAAGACGGUCUUGAAUAAUAAAUCGCCACUGAUCAAUGUGUGAUGCUGUCAUCGGUAUCUGCGUCUUUGCUUCUGUGUCUUUCAUGAACAUUGCGUAUGUAACUGAAUUUUCGCAUAAUUGUACUAUUAUGUCAGUGUUGUCGAUUGCAUUUCCGUUUGUAUUUCAGCACUAGGAAAAUAAUGAACUUUCCGUUCAGUCCCUAUUUCUUGGAAGAAAUUCAGUUUGUUUUGCUUU